AAUAAUCUAUUGCUGCCAUCAAAUCGAUUAUUUUUUUAUUCCUUUAAAUGGAAGACGACCGUCCUUUUUUCCUCAAAUUUUUAUGAAUUCCUUUCAUCCCGUUUUGAAUGGUAUAAAUACUUUCUUUUAAGUUAUAUCGGCAAACCGAGCUUCAAGAUAAGGGAUUGUGAUAGAUGGAUUCUGGAUAAAUCUCAAGAGAUGUGGGAACGAUGAAGCUUCGAUUCUAAAUCUCUUGUUCUCGAAUGUUUCAGGUUUAUGGUUGUCGGUCGUGGGCUUAUCUCUUGUGGGUUGAGAUAGUUUUAAGGUUUUGUAUUGCUUAGUGAAUUGGGCCUUCUAUGUUUA